rnacentral:rRNA from 1 species
UAGUAACGGCGAGUGAAGCGGGAAGAGCUCAAGCUUAAAAUCUCCGUGCAAGUUUUGUGCGGCGAAUUGUAGUCUAUAGAGGCGUGGUCAGCGUGGGCGCUUGGGGCAAGUUCCUUGGAAGAGGACAGCAUGGAGGGUGAUACUCCCGUUCAUCCCUGAGUUGCUCGUGCGUACGGCCCGUUUUCUUUGAGUCGCGUUGUUUGGGAAUGCAGCGCAAAGUAGGUGGUAAAUUCCAUCUAAAGCUAAAUAUUGGUGCGAGACCGAUAGCGAACAAGUACCGUGAGGGAAAGAUGAAAAGAACUUUGAAAAGAGAGUUAAAGAGUACCUGAAACUGCUGAAAGGGAACCGAAUCGUUUCCAGUGUCUAUAAUCCGUGGUAUAUUUCAUUGGCGAGUGUGUGCGUGCGUGUGCUGUGGCAGCGGCUUUUUAGGCUGCGCUCGGCGUGUGUGCUGUGUGUGCUUGCUGGUGCCCUGUACUGCGGUGGGACGUCAAGGUCAGUUCGUAUGCUGCGGGAAAUGGCUGCCGAGGAGGUAGGGCUUACGCUUGCGUUUGUCUGUUAUAUCUUGGUGGACGAGUAGUCGCGGUUGGGACUGAGGUGCCUACAACGUGCUUUUGAGUGGGUUUGUGUCUCCGUGUGCGCCGUGUGCGGAUAGCUUGCUAUGCGUGUGUGGUUGUGUGUGGAUUGAUGCGGGCUUUAACUUGUUGCCGUUCGGGACGUUGACGAAAUGGAGCGAUUCGACCCGUCUUGAAACACGGACCAAGGAGUCUAACAUGUGUGCAAGUGUUAGGGUGUGGAAACCCCAGCGCGAAAUGAAAGUAAAGGGCAACGUAAGUUGUCUGAGGUAGGAAAUGCUGUGGGCUUCGGUCUGCGGUGUGGCACUAUCGACCGAUCAUGAACCUUCGUGGUGAAAGAUUUGAGUUUGAGCACAUAUGUUGGUACCCGAAAGAUGGUGAACUAUGCCUGAGUAGGGUGAAG